CCCUAGCCCAGCCCAUCAUCUUCCUCAUUCGACCAGCCAACCCAGAAACCCCCAAACCAGAGAACCCCAAACCCUCUCCGCCAACCACCACGAAAAACCACCCCCAUUUCACCAUUUUUUCACCAUUUUAGCUCAUUUUUGUUUCUAAAUCUUCUAUUUUUCAUACCUAAAACUGUAUACCUGAAAAGAUCACAUUUUCCCUCAUUUUUUAGGGUAAACCGAAGGUAGAGGUAGUGGUGGUGGUGGUUAUACCUCCGGCCACCGUUUUUAGUGGAGAAAACAUUGUAUUUCAACGUCUAUUAAGGUUGUGAGGUCAAUUUGCAAGGAUCUGACUUAUUUGGUAUUGAUCGGUUUCUAGUUAGCUCGAGGAUUUUAUCGGAAGACAAGUACAUAAUUUCUGGUAUAAGGUAUGCUUUUGUUAACCUACUUUUAUAAGAAUAUUUUUCAUAUAUAUUUAGAUAAUCUUUAAAUGCUUAGAGUAAUUUUAGAAUAAUAUUGAUGUAAUACAUAGGAUAUAUAUUGUUGAGUGCUAAGGAUAGAUAUAGUAAGC